UGCUUAGUUGUUCGUUAUCUUAGUUGUUCAUUAUCACUGUGUUAGUUUUUCAUUAUUUUGUCCGUGCAACUUAAAUUACGGGCUUCAUGCACACCGGUUAUGUUACGAAUAUGUGUUGUAAUAUACCUAAGCAGUAAAUUACUCUCUAGCCUUCGUGUUGUCACCACUGAUUAAUUUGACCAUAUAAACAUAAUUUCAGGAAGGAGAUGCGCUUAAAAAUCGCACCUGGAGAACUUCAGAUUGCUCUUCUGCCGGAGAAAAAGUACUUCAGUUUCCUUCCCGAUGAGAGGCAGCCUAGUCCCUCAAACUGCACCGGCAAAAUGACACAGGACAUCCUCCCACUCCUGCCCGACGCAAGCAGCGGGCGUGUGACAAAAAGUUGGCACCUGGAUGCAGCCAUAUGUGACCCUUUUUGGCUCCGAGCCUUGUUAACGUCGCACAGGGAGAGGCCGUGGUGCAGCUGCAUGCCUCUGUCAAGGCUGCUGGCCUCUGGACACGCUUUCAUGCAGGAGUUUGGAAAAAUCCAGCCUUGGCCUGAAAUCAGCAGUCUCUGCCGUUUUCCGCUUAAAAUGGUGCCCUGUGAAGAACGCUGCAAGUUCUCGAUCUUAAAGACUGUGUUUCAGUGGAAACACAAAAUUAACACUUCCAGGCAUACUCUACCACAUUAUACCAAACUGGCUUUGAAAGCUUUUAAAAAGAUCUAGAUAUUUUGAGCAUAGCAUAGAUUUGUUGGUUGUUUUCUGGUUUUUUAAUUGUACCAAAAGGACUCUAGACUACCUAUUUUGAAAUCACUUUAAACCGUUUUGAAAAUCACGCUGCAAUCUCUCUAUCUAUAUAUAUACAGAUAAAUAUAUAUGAGACUUCAUCCAGCUGUUUCCCUAGAUCCAGUCAGAGCCAAAUGAAAAUCUGCAGUGAGGUUUUCCAUUUAUACCCAGAAAUUUUCCAUUUGUUUUCUGAGAACUGGACAAAUGCAGACAAAGGUGGGUAUCUUACCUGUGUUUUUCAGUGUUUACACUACAAACCAUGUGUCAAGCUUUUAAUCAUAUUUAUUUAUGAUAACAAAUAAAUAGAAACAGAGGAUUAGAAUUGUAUUCCAUUUUGAAAAUGAGGUUGGCUUUCAUGAACCUAAAAUCCCUUAGUUUUACUUCUUACAUAUUUCUGGCAUGACCUAGAAUACUUAGGAUCUAUUUUUAACAUUAUUUAAGCCAUGUUGUUAAAGUAAACCUAUUUACAAUGGGAAGUUCAAACACCAAAUAACUCAGGUGAUGGCUUAGAAUUGGUUGAUUACGUCGCAUUUUUAUCAGAUCUUUCCAAAUGACCUCUUAAAGUACAAGAUCUGUAGUUUGGAGUCCUGCCAUUGCUCCCUCUAAAAUAUUUUUCUUAGAAUAUAAUUUGCUGUAUCUCCUUUAAUGAUUAGUCUCUUUGUAAUUUAUUUCAUUAUUUGGACAGAUGGCUUGAUUUCUCAAAAAACCCUCUUAUGACUACUAUUUUUAGCUUAAUGGCAAAAAUAACUGCUAGGUGUCUUCCCUUUUCCAGGUUACAAGGAAGGUUUAUUCAGAAGAAUAAUCCUGCAGUUAUUCUCUCACAAAGCUAGUAUUUGUACUAUAGAUUUACAUUCAUCAGCUGCUCUUUCCAGCAGAAAGUGAAAUUCGGUGUGCUGGUCACCUUCAGGGCUUUGUCUGUGUGAGAACACCUGAGCUAAGGAGAAUACACGGGUAUCAGUGCCAAGGUCCUGCCCUGCACUUAGCUUGGUAUCGUGCAGGCCUUGACAUCCUUCUAGCCCGCCUGUAUAUCUUCUGAGGGAAAAUCCAGCCAGUGUAUUCCUCCAGGCUGAGGCAGUGGCAGGAGUUCUGAGGUAGCAGGAGAUGCUCCUCACCUUCCCUGGUGCAGCUGGCAUACGCUGUGUGUAUGUGGGAUUUCGUGUGGGGGGUUUGGAGGGGAGCACUUCAGACACCUGCUCUGAAUCAGAUCCAGCACGAACCUGGAGGAACCACUGAUGCCUAUGAGCGAGAGGAUUACUCCAUGACAACGAGUUCUUCAGGGAUGUACGUGUUCCCAGAGUGGCACUGAGAGAAAAAUCCUUCCUGCCGAGGAGUGAAUCAGUUACCUUAGUGUAUUCAGCAGUGGAAAGCUGUGGGCAUGCCUUGACAGAAAUGGGGAGCUUCCCUACUCAGAGCCACAACUAAGUUUCAUUUCUUUAUGAUAAACUGCUAUUUCUUUACUUUAUUUUCUCCUUUCUUGUAGCAAAAUCAAAGCCACUUGAAAAAGAUUUUGUAUUUUUAAGUCUUGCUGAGAAAUUUUCAUGUUGCAGCCCUGUGCAGUUUCAUAUUUUUAAAUAUCUGGAGGAUUAGGAAAAAAUCGUAGUGUUCUUUAAUAGUAUCCGUGCCAAACCUGUCUUUCUUUAUAUUAUAUUGGUCAUAUUGUUGGGAGUUUCAGAUUCCCAAAGAUGCUUCUAAUGAAAUCUGUUGCUAUCACAAGAAACAAACCAGCGAGGAAAAUACUGUAGAUGACUGUUUUUGAAUUCCAGUUGCAAAAUUUAUGAAGAAUAUUAUGGUUCACUGUGGUGCCUAGGAGACAGGGAAUGUAGUCAGUGGCCCAGAUCCUUGCUAGUUCUGUGACCAUGUUUCAUGUUCCACGUGGCAUCUAAAAUUUUAAAGAUAAACAGGACAUAAAUUAAAAAAAUGAAACAAAACCACAAUUCAGACUUUAUGACUGUUUUGCUCUCUGCAGAGGGCAUUGGCAGUACAGCCAGGAGAGGAAGAGGAUUAUACCUGGGGAGCAGUGGGGAGCAGGAGCACCGUCAUUCUCUGUAGGCCACCCAGUGGGGAGCAGGAGCACCAUCAUUCUCUGUAGGCCACCUCACUGGAUGGGCCGUGUAGAAAAUGUCCUGCCAGUGGCCCUUGCCUGGGGACAGAGCUUUGCUCACUGGAUGGGCCGUGUAGAAAAUGUCCUGGCAGUGGCCCUUGCCUGGGGACAGGGCUUUUCUGAGUUGGGUUUUCAUAGGAUCUGAGCAGCUGUGGUACUGGGUGUAGCAAUGUAUCAGAGGCUGAGGCUGCCUUGGAAGCUGGAGGCAGAAUCUUGCCACAGUAAAGGCUUCUGAACUCUCUCCCUUCUGCUAGAGCACUGAUUUUAGAAAGCUGACAUUUUGGACUCCUUAAAAGCACCAGCCUAAGAGGUGCAAAAUAAAUUCAUAUUCCUUGGGGAAAAGAAAAAAAAAAAGAAAAAAAAUAUUUGAUAAAUAAGAUGACAAAGUUAAAUAGAAGAGACUUUAUCUGAAGGUAAAAGACAUUUUUCCAGAGAUGGAAAUUAUGUGCAAACAAGGUAGCUUACACAGAUCCUAAAACUAAACAAAUUAGGCUUAAAAAAAUAAAUGAAGUGUUUGUAGAACAACUUGCUAAAGGCAAGUAUAAAAGUUACUCACAAAACCUUAGACCACAAGAACUAGGAAGUUCUGCAGAGCUGAGGCAUUACCAAGGAGUAGGAGGAUCUCAAAAAAGGCCAUGAAAGGGUGCUAAUGCAACUCUUUAUUUGCAGUUUCUCUACCAGAGAGCUUGGAGACAUUAUUAUCCAUCCACUUUCUUUGAAAAAAUCAGAUCUGCAGAGUUAUCCCAUAUUGAAUGGUUGGAAGGAGGGAAUAAAACCCAUAUAAGGAAAAUGGAUAAUAAAAUCAGCUUGCCUGAGUCCUAUUCACCUGGAAGUAUCUUGAGAGUUCAGGUAUUGAACAACUGUCCCACUAAGAUUGAGGUAAAUUUGCCAUCCAAAUACUUUUUGAACUCAGUCAAAUAGACAGGUACAAAAUCUUGAGAAGGACUCCAGAGGGUAUUUGUAUUUGAGAUAAUCCACUUUAAAAUAACCUAAAAAUAGUAUUACUUGGCAUAUGAAUAACUCAACUAGUCUUGUACCAUCUUGUACCAGCAAUAGUCUGGCCAACAGCAGCAAGGCAGUGAUUAUUCCCUGUACUCAGCACUAGUGAGGCCACACCUCAAAUUCUGUGUUCAGUUUUGAACUCACUACAAAAACGACAUUGAGGUGCUGGAGUGAGUCCAGAGAAGGGCAAUGGAGCUGCUGAAGAUCUGGAGCACAAGUCCUGUGAGGAGCAGCUGAGGGAGCUGGAGUUGUUUAGCCUGGAGAAAAGGAGGCUCUAGGGGGGGACCUUAUCACUCUCUACAACAACCUGAAAGGAGGCUGUAGCCAGGUGUAGUUUGAUCUGUUCUCCCAGGAAACAAGCAGUAGGAUGAGAGGAAAAUCAGGAGAAGUUCCUUCACCAAAAGGGUCGUUUAGCAUUAGAAGAAACUGCCCAGGGAAGUGGCUGUGUCCCAUCCCUUGGAGAUGUUUCAAAGGUGUGGAGAUGUAGUGCUUAGGGACAUGGUUUAGUGGUGCACUUGGCAUGGCUGGGUUAAUGGCUGACUCGAUGAUCUCAAGGGUCUUUCCCAAUGAUUCUAAAUGAUUCUGUGAUCCUAUUGUAUGAUUCUUAUGAGGAAGCUGUGCCUCUUCCCAUCUCCAGGAGGCUUCAUCAAACUCCUUCAUAUGUAAAUUAUCCACUUCGUAUAGACUUUUAAAUUUCAUUAAUACUUCUGUCUAGGUCUUUCUGGAAAGAAUUGUGAAGACCUUUAUGAGGAGCCUCAACUUCCUUGAGAUUAAAAGGAUUAAUAACUACUUAAAGGUCGAUCACAGGAUAUUAAAGAAAGCCAUCCAGAUUCAACUUCUGUCUCACAAAAUAAGAAAAGAGUCACUGAAUGAAAUCUUUGGGCAGCAUGUUUGAAACAAAUAAAAAUAAGUACUUGGUCCAUGCCACACAUUAUUAAAUGACACUUUGCCCACAUGAUUAGAGAAUAAGUAGAAACAAAAGUCAUA
ensembl:lncRNA